ACAGUGAGGGCACUCCAGUACAUCUCAUGUUCUUAACAGACGAACAAUCAAAGUUUGAGAUACAGAAGGUUCUCUUGGAAGAGAUAGGUCGUCAUCUCUCCUAUAAUGUAUUCAAACCUACCUUCAUCUUGAAUAGGAAUAGAAUAUUUCCAAGGGGGCUAAAAGUGGAAUAUUUAAAGCUAGAGGUUUUCUCUACUAAUUAUAAACAACAAAUAG